AGUGAACGCUGGCGGUAGGCCUAACACAUGCAAGUCGAACGGCAGCACAGUAAGAGCUUGCUCUUACGGGUGGCGAGUGGCGGGCGGGUGAGGAAUACAUCGGAAUCUACUUUUUCGUGGGGGAUAACGUAGGGAAACUUACGCUAAUAUCGCAUACGACCUACGGGUGAAAGCAGGGGAUCUUCGGACCUUGCGCGAUUGAAUGAGCCGAUGUCGGAUUAGCUAGUUGGCGGGGUAAAGGCCCACCAAUGCGGCGGUCCGUAGCCGGUCAGUGAGGAGGAUCAGCCACCCUGGAACUGAGACACGGUCCAGACUCCUACGGGAGGCAGCAGUGGGGAAUAGUGGACAAUGGGCGCAAGCCUGAUCCAGCCAUACCACGUGGGUGAAGAAGGCCUUCGGGUUGUAAAGCCGUUUUGUUGGGAAAGAAAAGCAGCAGGUUAAUACCCCGCUGUUCUGACGGUACCCAAAGAAUAAGCACCGGCUAACUUCGUG
rnacentral:rRNA from 1 species